rnacentral:ncRNA from 1 species
CCAUGUAAAUCUGUGUGCAAGUGCUCAGUAUACCCAUACAUAGUUCAAUGUUCAGUUCACAGUAACCCCAGAUACUAGCUGACAAGCGAGAUGAUUAAGGUAUUUUUCAAAAAUUUCUGCAGCUGACUGCUUCUGCUUCCCUACCCCGGCUCCUCGCCUGCUCGAGAGUUACACUUUCGGGGAGGCUACAGAAGCGAGAAGAACAAGACAAAAAAAAAGAAAGAAAGUAUGGCGGAGCUCGAGUGACCUGCCAUCGGAGGGCCCCUGCCGGCUGGCCCAGCGCCGGUGUUCAGGCAGGAGGAUCCUCUGGCCCCGCGGGUCCCCACACAUCCAGAACACCUUGGUCGCUUUGGUGACUCUAGAUAACCUCGAGCCGAUUGCUGGCCCUCAAGGCAGCGACGUCUAUUCGAAUGUCUGCCUCAACUUUCGAUGGUACUUUCUGUACCUACUAUGGUGACCACGGGUAACGGGGAAUCAGGGUUCCAUUCCGGAGAGGGAGCCUGAGAAACGGCUACCACAUCCAAGGAAGGCAGCAGG